CCUCCUUUCUCGCAUUCCUGGCGCGGCGGCUGCUCGGCGGAUUGCAAAGAGGCAGGUGGAGGAGCUCACCAAGUAGCCCGCCGGAGUCAAAGGCAUUCGAGGAUAGGGACAAGCCGGCGGCGCAGCUAGUGACUGGAGCGGCGGCGCGAGCUCUGUCUCCGGGGAGAAGCCGAUGGGCGACGUCAGCGAGCUCGUCUCCAUGCGUUAACCCCUCUGUGCGUUGCGGGGUGGGGAGGCAACUCCGUGAGCUCGUCUUCGUGCGGCUACCGGGGGUUUGCCCCUCAGCUCGCCGCAAACUCUAUUUCCGGGGAGAAGCGGCGUCGGCGACUCCGUGAGGGCGGCCGCCGGCGCAAGCCCAGGUCGAUUUUCGGCGGCUUCGCUCAAGGCCAACGAUUGGGCGCGUGUGGUGGCAGUUCGAGGAGUGGCGACAUCUUCUGGUGGAUUGCUGUGUGUGCUUUGGUCUGAAAGUUUGUGAUUGGAAGGAGUGGCAACAUCUUCAGGUGGAAGGAGUGGCAGUUCAAGGACAUCUUCAGCAGUGGUCUGAAUUGAUUCAGGAAAUACUUUGGCAUGGUACAGUUUGACCAGCCACAGGACCAAAUCAGUUAACCUACUCCCUUUAGUCUGCAUCAAGGUACAGA